CUUUAUAUAUUUAAAUGUUUCUAUCAUAUCCCCCCUGUCUCGUCUUUCCUCCAAGCUAUACAUGUUAAGAUCCUUUAACCUUUCCUGGUAAGUUUUAUCCCGCAAUGUUAACUCAGAAAACGAAUAGAUUCUUAUAUGCGUUAUAUAACGGACCACCUGGUAACCCAACCGGUUACCUCCGCUAGUUCCCUUCCUUCAGCCGAUCGGGAACCCUUUAAGACAUACAGAAACCCAUUUUCCCCUAGUUACUGGACAAGACACAGUUCUGGAGGUACAACAACCACUUUAUUGGUCACACCCGACUUUAUACUUGUCCCCAUGCAAGGGGCAUAUACAACUCAAUGACAAUGUCCCCUCCCAGGGCCCUCCCCCUCCUAGGGGUUUUUGGGGCGGAAAAGGAACUCCAGUCUCUUUGUCCCCUGUUCCUGCCACCCAAGUACAGGGAUGCCCAUUUCUGGGGACAUGGGGUGUUCUUCCCAGGAUCCUCUAUGACUGGGAGCCAAAGCUCAGGUGGUCUUUGUCUC